UGGGGAAUAUUGGACAAUGGACCAAGAGUCUGAUCCAGCAAUUCUGUGUGCACGAUGAAGUUUUUCGGAAUGUAAAGUGCUUUCAGUUGGGAAGAAAGAAAUGACGGUACCAACAGAAGAAGUGACGGCUAAAUACGUGCCAGCAGCCGCGGUAAUACGUAUGUCACGAGCGUUAUCCGGAUUUAUUGGGCGUAAAGCGCGUCUAGGUGGUUAUGUAAGUCUGAUGUGAAAAUGCAGGGCUCAACUCUGUAUUGCGUUGGAAACUGUAUAACUAGAGUACUGGAGAGGUAAGCGGAACUACAAGUGUAGAGGUGAAAUUCGUAGAUAUUUGUAGGAAUGCCGAUGGGGAAGCCAGCUUACUGGACAGAUACUGACGCUGAAGCGCGAAAGCGUGGGUAGCAAACAGGAUUAGAUACCCUGGUAGUCCACGCCGUAAACGAUGAUUACUAGGUGUUGGGGGUCGAACCUCAGCGCCCAAGCAAACGCGAUAAGUAAUCCGCCUGGGGAGUACGUACGCAAGUAUG
rnacentral:rRNA from 1 species